rnacentral:rRNA from 1 species
CGUCAGCUCGUGUCGUAAGAUGUUGGUUAAGUCCCGCAACGAGCGCAACCCCUAUUGCCAGUUACCAGCGGGUUAUGCCGGGGACUCUGGUGAGACUGCCGGGGACAACUCGGAGGAAGGUGGGGAUGACGUCAAAUCAUCAUGCCCCUUAUGUCUUGGGCUACACACGUGCUACAAUGGCUGAAACAAAGGGAUGCAACAACGUAAGUUGAAGCGGAUCUCAUAAAAACAGUCCCAGUUCGGAUUGUGGGCUGCAACCCGCCCAC